rfam:Cedecea davisae DSM 4568 genomic scaffold Scaffold0, whole genome shotgun sequence.
CGUAGGCGUUGAGGGUGCGCUGACACAGAGCGGAGCGCACGCAAUCCUGCUUGCCAAAGCGCACCACGCCGACCAUUUCAUCCUCUUCAAAACGGUUCAGGGCAUCGCUAAGGCCUGACGGCACGCCUGCGGGUAAAUCGCACUGCGUGAUAUCGCCAUUGACGAUGACCGUGACAUUUUCCCCGAGGCGAGUC